AGUGAACGCUGGCGGCAGGCCUAACACAUGCAAGUCGAACGGCAGCACAAGAGAGCUUGCUCUCUGGGUGGCGAGUGGCGGACGGGUGAGGAAUGCAUCGGAAUCUGCCCAUUUGUGGGGGAUAACCUCGGGAAACCGGGACUAAUACCGCAUACGACCUACGGGUGAAAGCAGGGGAUCUUCGGACCUUGCGCAGAUGGAUGAGCCGAUGCCGGAUUAGCUAGUUGGAAGGGUAAAGGCCCACCAAGGCGACGAUCCGUAGCUGGUCUGAGAGGAUGAUCAGCCACACUGGGACUGAGACACGGCCCAGACUCCUACGGGAGGCAGCAGUGGGGAAUAUUGGACAAUGGGCGCAAGCCUGAUCCAGCCAUGCCGCGUGUGUGAAGAAGGCCUUCGGGUUGUAAAGCACUUUUGUUGGGAAAGAAAAGCAGCCGGUUAAUACCCGGUUGUCAUGACGGUACCCAAAGAAUAAGCACCGGCUAACUUCGUG
rnacentral:rRNA from 1 species